GAUCAUGGCUCAGGAUGAACGCUGGCGGCGUGCCUAAUACAUGCAAGUCGAACGCUGGAGAUCUAGCUUGCUAGAUCGAAGGAGUGGCGAACGGGUGAGUAAUACAUAAGCAACCUACCCACGAAGACUGGGAUAAUCUCUGGGAACGGGGACUAAUACCGGAUAGGUAAUCGGAAGGCAUCUUCUGAUUAUUAAAGGCUAAAAACACUGGUGGAUGGGCUUAUGGCGCAUUAGUUAGUUGG
rnacentral:rRNA from 1 species